GUACACGCUGUGACUAGCAUAUCAAUAAGCGGAGGAAAAGAAACUAACAAGGAUUCCCCUAGUAACGGCGAGUGAAGCGGGAAGAGCUCAAAUUUGAAAUCUUAAAGGGUUUCCCUUUACGAAUUGUAGUUUAAAGAAGUGUUUUCUGUUGAGGUUUUGGUAAAAGUUCUUUGGAAUAGGACAUCAUAGAGGGUGAGAAUCCCGUAUUUGACCUUUACUUUCAACUUUGUGAUACACUUUCAAAGAGUCGGAUUGUUUGGGAAUGCAGUCCAAAAUGGGUGGUAAAUUUCAUCUAAAGCUAAAUAUUGGCGAGAGACCGAUAGCGAACAAGUACCGUGAGGGAAAGAUGAAAAGAACUUUGAAAAGAGAGUUAAACAGUACGUGAAAUUGUCAAAAGGGAAGCGUUUGACACCAGUGUUGUUUUUCUGAAAAUCAAUUAAAGAACUGUUUAUGCUAAGUUGUUUAGACUUUAUCAGCUAACUGUUUAGUUUUGAGCUUUUCUUUAAUGCACUUUUCAGUUAACAAGUCAACAUCAAUUUCUUUUGCUGUAAAAAAGCCUGAGGAAGGUGGCUUGAGAUUCGUCUUAAGUGUUUAUAGCCUCUUGCCUAUGCAGUCGGAGAGAUUGAGGUCUGCAGCGUAGAUCCUUCGGGGCUAAAUGCAUUUGUGCUAAGUUAUAGCAUUUUAUAGACAACUUGUUGACUAUGAUUUGUCUUGUAGCUUACUCGCUUAUGUUAUUUUACCUACGCUUAGGAUGUUGACGCGCGUGUGUGCGUG
rnacentral:rRNA from 1 species